rnacentral:rRNA from 1 species
UACGUAGGGAGCAAGCGUUGUCCGGAAUCAUUGGGCGUAAAGCGCGCGUAGGCGGCCCCGUAAGUCCGCUGUGAAAGUCAAAGGCUCAACCUUUGAAAGCCGGUGGAUACUGUGGGGCUAGAGUCCGGAAGAGGCGAGUGGAAUUCCUGGUGUAGCGGUGGAAUGCGCAGAUAUCGAGAGGAACACCUGCGGCGAAGGCGGGUUGCUGGGCUGACACUGACGCUGAAGCGCGAAAGCUAGGGGAGCGAACGGG